UCGAAGGUAGCAUAAUCAGUAGUUUUUUAAUUGAAAGCUUGUAUGAAUGGUUGAACGAGAUAUAUGUUGUUUCAUAAAAAUUUAUAAAAAUUAAUUUUUUAGUUAAAAAGCUAAAAUAAUUUUAAAAGACGAGAAGACCCUAUAGAGUUUUAUAUUUUUAUUAUAUUUAUUAUUUAGAAAAAUUUAAUUUUUAUAAAAAAAAAUAUUUUGUUGGGGUGACAAUAAAAUUUAAUAAACUUUUAUAUAUAUAAACAUUAAUAUAUGAUUAUUUGAUCCAAUUUUAUUGAUUAUAAGAUUAAAUUACCUUAGGGAUAACAGCGUAAUUUUUUUAAAGAGUUCUUAUCGAUAAAAAAUUUUGCGACCUCGAUGUUGGAUUAA
rnacentral:rRNA from 1 species